ensembl:rRNA 5_8S_rRNA 5.8S ribosomal RNA
UCGGCUCGUGGAUGGAUCACUCGGCUCGUGUGUUGAUGAAGUACGCAGCUAGCUGCGAGAACUAAAGUGAAUUGCAGGACACAUUGAUCAGCAACACUGAACGCACCUUGCGGCCCAAGGUUCCUCCUGGGGCUACGCCUGUCUGAGGGUUG